GUAUCAGCCAGUCUGGGGUUUUUUUCAGUCAUUGGAGAUGCCUCGCUUCACGGUCCACGUUCGGGACGAGUGGCUCACAGUUCCAUGCAAAGAUCCCACCUGCAGCAUCAAAUGGUUGGGUUUCGAAACUCUCAAGCGCUACAUCAAGAACAAACCCGACAAUGGAGGAAUCCAGCACAUCAAAGAUGUGCGUUUUGUCGUCAGAAGAUGUCAGGGAUUGGGGUUGCUGGACAAUGACGAUUCCAUAGAAGACGUGCUCGAGGACAACGACUUUGUUGAACUUGCCAUUGAAGGAGACACCAUGCCACAAGAUUUCAUUCCAAGUCAGCCUGACGGGACGUCACACUUAAUAAGACCAUACAGAGAACCAGAGCAAUACAUUUCUCUGGAUGGGAACAGCCUGACCUCAACUGAUCUGGUGAAUUUAGGCAAAGGCCGAUAUAAGAUUAAGCUGUCCCCAGAGGCCGAGCAAAAAGUUGUGCAAUCGAGAGAGCUCCUGGACACCAUUGUGAAAGAAAACAAAGUUGUGUAUGGCAUCACUACAGGGUUUGGGAAAUUUGCUCGGACUGUCAUCCCAGUCAGCAAGCUCAAAGAGCUUCAGGAAAACCUUCUGCGCUCACACUCAUCAGGUCUGGGAAGUCCUUUAAGUCCUGAAAGAACUCGAAUGUUGCUGGCUCUGAGGAUCAAUGUUUUGGCCAAAGGGUACAGCGGGGUUUCACCGGAGACGUUGCACCGCAUGAUACAGGCCUUCAAUGCCUCCUGUUUAUCCUACGUCCCGGAGAAGGGUACGGUGGGUGCGAGCGGGGAUCUCGCCCCUCUUUCUCACCUCGCCCUCGGCCUGAUGGGGGAAGGCAAGAUGUGGUCACCCAAGAGCGGCUGGGCGGAUGCCAAAUACGUAUUGGAAGCACAUGGUCUGAAGCCCAUAUCUCUGAAGCCAAAGGAGGGGCUGGCUCUGAUCAAUGGUACACAAAUGAUCACUUCUUUGGGAGCAGAGGCCGUGGAGAGAGCUGAGGCCAUCGCCCGGCAGGCUGACAUCAUCGCUGCCCUGACCCUGGAAGUCCUCAAGGGGACCACCAAAGCCUUUGAUAGUGAUAUUCAUGAACUGCGACCUCAUCCGGGACAGAAGGAAGUGGCCCUGCGCUUCCGUUCUCUGUUGGACUCUGAUCACCACCCGUCUGAAAUUGCAGAGAGCCAUCGGUUUUGCGACAGAGUUCAAGAUGCCUACACUAUGCGCUGUUGUCCACAGGUCCAUGGAAUCGUCAAUGACACAAUUGAGUUUGUCAAGAAAAUCAUCAAUACAGAAAUCAACAGUGCCACAGAUAAUCCUAUGGUGUUUGCAGAGAGAGGUGAGACAAUAUCCGGAGGAAACUUCCAUGGAGAAUAUCCAGCAAAGGCUCUUGACUAUUUGGCGAUCGGAGUGCACGAGUUGGCCUCCAUCAGCGAGAGGCGCAUUGAACGUCUCUGCAAUCCCUCUCUCAGCGAGCUGCCGGCCUUCCUGGUCAAUGAGGGAGGCCUAAACUCUGGGUUUAUGAUCGCGCACUGCACUGCCGCGUCUCUCGUUUCAGAGAACAAAGUGCUUUGCCACCCCUCCUCUAUCGACUCCCUAUCCACCAGCGCGGCCACGGAGGACCAUGUGUCCAUGGGUGGCUGGGCCGCACGCAAAGCCCUCAGAGUGGUCGAGCACGUCGAGCAAGUGCUAGCCAUUGAGUUGUUAGCUGCCUGUCAGGGUAUUGAGUUUCUACGCCCCCUUCGUACAACGACCCCAUUGGAGAAAGUGUACGACCUUGUGCGUUCUACAGUAAAGCCUUGGUUUAAAGACAGGUUCAUGGCUCCAGACAUUGAAGCUGUACAUCGGCUUCUCGUGGACCAGAAGGUGUGGGACAUUGCUGGGCCAUACAUUGAGAAAUAUUGUAUGGAAUACAUCCCAGAAUCCCGCCCCUCUUCCCCCACAGCCUUUGCUCUGGACCCGCCCCCAUCACCACGGAAACGGGUCAGGCUGGAGUGACAGGGAUGGCAUCCUGCUGUCUCGCAUUACCAAGCAUUUAAAAUGUGUCCAUAUUUCAGCAUAAGGCAGCACACAUUGACAGCAGGAUGGGUCUCUGUGCCAGGUUUUCAUUCGGAAACAAUAGACGUAUUGAAAUGUCUAUUAAAUGAUUUCAUUGGUCUUAAAGGAAGUGUCUUUGACCUCAUGACACAGAGGUAUUUUGACAGAUGGAGGGAUCUUGGUCUUUGUUCUGUGGCUCAUCGCCAUGUGAAAUAUAUCUAGACUUUUCAAUUCUCAGACACUGCUUUUAGUGUAUUAUAGCGAAUUCCCUUUGUAAUUUGUAAUGUUCAUUUUAUUAGUCAUUGUGUUCUCAAUAGGAAACAGGUGACAUGAGUGUUGCUAGCAAGUUUAUUCACUACAAAAAUUGUUUCUUGCUUCGUAUUUUUGCUUUGUUUUUCAUUAAAAAUAUCCAAAAAUUCUUAAAUACA